GGCUCAUCUUUAUAGUCUGUGGAGCGAGACUCUUCUCCCAUUACUUCUUGCUUGAUGAUGGCACAUCCGUCUUGGGAGGAGUAGACGGUUGCACCUGCUUGGGCCUCCACUUUAGCAGUAUCACCUUCGGAGGUGUGGAAGUUUGUUCAACCUUCUGCUUCGGUUUCCACACCUGCUUCGGUUGUGAAGGCUUGGGGACUUCAUCCCUUUUUUGAUUCUUUUUAGGAGCUAUUUUUUUCUGCUUCUUAUUAUUUUUUUAGGAGUUGCCUUUUCUUUUGGCUUUGGCUUUUUCUUAAAUAUUUUUAUAUUUUUAAUAAGUUGAGGCUGGAUCUCAACCUGCCUGAUGCCUUGGGGGUUUGGCCCAUAGAGGAUGCGUAUCAUGUUGCACUCUUGUGGACGGUGUGGCCUGAACUCGAACUUCUCUUCUUGGCCAUUAAUGUUGAAGCGGAUUUCUCCGGCCCCAACAGAGAGAGCAGGAGAGGGAGCUGAGUGGCGCAAAUGAGAGAGGAGGGAGAGGCGGAAGCGGCAGGGAGCUCCUGGUGGCCGACUAGGGCGUGUCUAUGGAGUUGCAUGGACGCCACGCGGUGGGAGCGACCUGCCGGCUUGCCACGGUGGCACGGCGCGGCCGUUGCGCACGGGCGUGGGCACGGGGAGGGUAAAGGGGUGCGCGCGUGGGGUGGGCCGACUUUGGCUAGUGGG
rnacentral:lncRNA from 1 species